AGUGAACGCUGGCGGUAGGCCUAACACAUGCAAGUCGAACGGCAGCACAGUAAGAGCUUGCUCUUACGGGUGGCGAGUGGCGGACGGGUGAGGGAUACAUCGGAAUCUACUUUUUCGUGGGGGAUAACGUAGGGAAACUUACGCUAAUACCGCAUACGACCUACGGGUGAAAGCAGGGGAUCUUCGGACCUUGCGCGAUUGAAUGAGCCGAUGUCGGAUUAGCUAGUUGGCGGGGUAAAGGCCCACCAAGGCGACGAUCCGUAGCUGGUCUGAGAGGAUGAUCAGCCACACUGGAACUGAGACACGGUCCAGACUCCUACGGGAGGCAACAGUGGGGAAUAUUGGACAAUGGGCGCAAGCCUGAUCCAGCCAUACCGCGUGGGUGAAGAAGGCCUUCGGGUUGUAAAGCCCUUUUGUUGGGAAAGAAAAGCAGCAGGUUAAUACCCCGCUGUUCUGACGGUACCCAAAGAAUAAGCACCGGCUAACUUCGUG
rnacentral:rRNA from 1 species